GAGGAUUGGGAUAUUCCGACUCCUUAAGGGCCUGGCGCACAUAAGGUGUGACCUUUUCAUUCCCGUUGUUAUGGAGGGCCACAUCUGCCAGAGCCUGGAGUCUGCGAAGGCCGGGACCCGGUUCCCCGGCCCACAGUGGGGGUGUGCAAACCCGAGAGAACUGGGAAGUGCCGUCAGAAGCGAUAACUGACGACGUCUAAUGUCUAUCUGACCGCAGUCGCUGAAACCUCUACAACUUAGUUGACCGUAACUGCCAGAGCCCUGCCCUGAAUUCCUGUCCUUACUCCCUCUUUAAGAUUGCGUACCCACUGCAGAGUGCUGAAGACGGGGUAGCCACGAGGUUGCAAAUUCGUGAAGAAUCAGCAUCAUGUUUGGCAGCUGAGUAUUGGAGCCAGGAGCCUGCCAUGAGGUUUUGAGAACAGAGUGCUGUUUUAGAGCUGGCAGCAGCAUCUCAGCCCAAGAGAAGGUUAUAUUCCCAGAGGAUGUCAGUCCCAAGGACCAGUAGCUGCCAUCAGUUUGGAUUCUGAAAACUAACUGGCAUCAACACUGGGUGUAGAAACAUGCUUGCCUUAUGUAUCAGAGGACAUGCUCAGCAGAUCCAAGAGAUAUAUUUGGCAACUUUUUCUAGAAAAGGCACAUUGGGUAUCAUUCAUUACAUUCUUGAGUUUUUUUGGGUUUUUUUUUUUUUUUUUGAGACAGUCUUGCUGUAUUGCCCAGGCUGGAGUGUGGUGGCACAAUCACAGCUCAUUGCAUCCUCAAUCACCCAGGCCUAAGCAAUCCUCCCACCUUGUAGCUGGGACUACAGCUCACAGCACACCUGGCUAAAAUUUUUUUUUUGUUGAGACGGAUUCUCUAUGUUGCCCAGGCUGGUCUCAGGCUCCUGGGCUCAGAUGGUCCUCCUGCCUCAGCUUCCAAAGGCACAGGCCAAGUUGUAGCUUUGUCCCUUGCCAUCAUGCCCAACAAGAGGUUCUAUACCUUUUAAUGAAUUGACUUUCAUAAAUUGGUUAUGUUGGUGGGCAAAGUUCUUUAAGCUGGAAAUUGUAAAUUCCUCCUGAAAUGUUUUUUCAUGCAGUUACCAUGAACUAAUACUACAAUAAAGGAUGGUCUUGGGUGUCAAUUCUUGAAAAUGUGUAUUUGAAGAAAAAGUAAAUUUCGCCUACUGUUGUCAGAUAUUAGCAGUCCAGAUAUUCGCUCUAGCUUGUAAACUUCCCUGUGGUCAGCCUAAGCUCUUAACCCCCUAUUCUACAGCUUUAGACUGAAGGCAAAAGCUCAAAGCAUUUAAGGCCUCCUCAAUUUCGGCCCCUGCUGCUCUGUGCUCUGUUCCUUGGUGUAGCUUUGUUCCAGCUCCUGCAGCAUUGCACCAUUCCUAACCACAACCUUAACAGCAUGUAGGGCCCCAUACUCUAGGCCCCAUCUUGCUGUCUUCCUGUGUUGGAAUCUUGCCUACCAAGGCCUGUCAAGAGGGUCCUCCCCCAUACUGUUUGCCCACAAGGUUCAAGAGUGAUUGGCUCCCAGUCUUCCUGGACUGAACUACUUGGAUCUAGGGGUUGCCUGUUAUUUAGAAGAGAUCCCUUAACUGGUAGGGCCCUUUCAGUAGGACAGUAUUUGGGUAAGGGGAGGGUAUAAGAUGAGAACCUUUGCUAAGUUAGGUUCCUUUGGGAGCCUCCAGUUUGUUUCUCCCUCUCCCCAGCCAUCUUGUUGGAUCUGCCAAGGGAUUGGACUCCUUCAUUGUCCUAGGUUUUUAAGGUUUUAAAGCCCACCUUCUGCAGUCGGUUUUCUGGAAUGUGUUGGUGGAUUACUUAAGAGUUAUGGGGAAAGAGUUCUUACGGCCUGUCUAGGUCAGUGAAGUCAUACUGGCAAGUGACAAGAAGGAAGCCAGGUUUGUCACUUACCCUGCAUGCUAAGGACAUCAGAGCCCACAUAGAAGUCUGGUAGUUUUUCAGCCAGCAGUGGGUAGGGAAGGUGGAUAGGGGAUUUCUGAACAGGACUUUAUGCCUGUAUGCAUGGGCACCAUGUCUGUCCUGAGCACUACCACAUGGCAUCGUAGGCUGCUCUGUCAAAGGAUAUAGCGAUAGCUGGUCCUAUGGGCAGAUGCCUAGAAUCAAGGUGGGCCUCAGAAAUAGGGCUGGGUCUCCAUAAGGAGGUAGGCCACGUUCAGUCCACCCCUAGCAUAGAUGGAACUGGGGUCUCGGGCAACCAGGAGUUACAGGAAUUUUGCUAAAGAUUCCCACCUUCCUUGAGUGGGGACACAUUCCUCUGGUUGGAGCUUGUUCCCCUAAAUGAAAAAUGUAAUGCAGUACAUGUAGGGGCCCUACUGUAUUCUUUUUCUGGGGGAAAGCUCUUGGUGUUCACAAUGGCUCAGGCUUACAGUACCUCCAGCCAUGUGCCCAUUUCCACAAGUCUUUGGGGAAGGCCAUGAGCUGAGCUGAGAGGGUUCUCUGGGGCCUGGGAUGACUUAAGAACCAAAUGGCAGAUAAUGGGAUAGGGGGCAGAUGCAGAGGACCAACGGGAAGUUUUAACACAAAUCCCCUUCCCCAGAUGAUAUGGUUUGCCUUUCUGUAGGUGGGUGGCCCAGGCCAAUUUUUGGCAAUAUCCUUAACCCACCUGAU
rnacentral:lncRNA from 1 species